UUCCUUCCAACCCAUACCAUUCUGUGAUUCUUUAAAUAGAUAUUUAUUCAACUCAAUGCAUGUGAGCAGUUUGUUGAAGUUGGUUUGACAUGGUUUGCUUGAAGCAGCCUGGAGGCAAAUAUUUGCAGGUCCCAAACUGUUAAAACACUUAUUCACAGUCAUCAAAUCUUUGGUGAGCACAAACAGGGCUUCUGAAAAAGAAGGCCAGCAGUGGAGAGGGCACCAUUUGUGACAGAAACUAAUUUGAAAUAGAAUGUAGUAAAUUCCAAUUAACAGUACUACACAUUUUAAUGAUACACUGCUUUUUACUCUGUUUAAGACAUUAACAAACUAGAACCUGCAUUAACAAACUGGAACUUGCUUUUCAGCUUCAUAAGUAUUCUAGGAGAAAUAACCCUCAUCUCUCAAAAACUAUAUUUCUAAAAAAGGCUUUGUAAAAUAAAUGUAAGUAAAGCAAACAUAUGGGGGUGUUGGACUGCAGUAGUAAGCAAUUUGGACUCUUACAUACACAAAAUAAGCAAACCAUUGUCAGAAGAUGAAAAUACACUUUAAAGAAAAGAAGCAGCACUUUAAAAGGGUUUUUUUUGUAUUUUGACAGAAGGCUACUGUGAAAAUCCCGAUCCCUGUCUUGGUUGCAUUGAAUUCAUGUUUCCUGAAGAUCCGUAAUGAGGCUGGAGUUGUUUGGCUGCAGGUGGAUGUACAGUAUGUUCUCCUGGAUGAGCUGUUCCUGUGAAAGACUGUCUAUUGUCAGCUCAGAAGGGGUGACAGAAAAAAGCCAGUCACUUGAAGAUGGACGUGCUUUAUUGUGGAAGUUUCUGGCCUGAUAAUUUACACACGGUAGUGUCUGGUUGAACAGUGCCAGUGUCUUCUCUAGCUGCUUUUGUGUGCUGGGAGUUGGGGUUUGAUGGGGCUUUUUAGGGAAGACCAAUAAAAAUGUUGAUUCCAAAA